UACGUAGGUCGCAAGCGUUGUCCGGAUUUACUGGGCGUAAAGAGCGCGCAGGCGGCUGGUCAAGUCCGAUGUGAAAUCUCCCGGCUCAACUGGGAAACUGCAUCGGAAACUGAUCGGCUUGAAGAUGGGAGAGGGUAGUGGAAUUCCCGGUGUAGUGGUGAAAUGCGUAGAUAUCGGGAGGAACACCAGUGGCGAAGUCGACUACCUGGCCCAUUCUUGACGCUGAGGCGCGAAAGCUAGGGGAGCGAACGGG
rnacentral:rRNA from 1 species